AGCAGCCGCGGUAAUUCCAGCUCCAAUAGCGUAUAUUAAAGUUGUUGCAGUUAAAAAGCUCGUAGUUGAAUUUCGGGGUUAGUAGGUUGGUCAUGCCUCUGGUAUGUACUGGUUUCACUGAUUCCUCCUUCCUGAUGAGCCGUAAUGCCAUUAAUUUGGUGUUGCGGGGAAUUUGGACUGUUACUUUGAAAAAAUUAGAGUGUUUAAAGCAAGCUAACGCUUGAAUACAUUAGCAUGGAAUAAUGAAAUAGGACGUUCGAUCCUAUUUUGUUGGUUUCUAGGAUUGACGUAAUGAUUAAUAGGGAUAGUUGGGGGCAUUAGUAUUCAAUUGUCAGAGGUGAAAUUCUUGGAUUUAUUGAAGACUAACUACUGCGAAAGCAUUUGCCAAGGAUGUUUUCAUUAAUCAAGAACGAAAGUUAGGGGAUCGAAGACGAUCAGAUACCGUCGUAGUCCUAACCAUAAACUAUGCCGACUAGGGAUCGGAUGAUGUUAAUUUUUUAAUGACUCA
rnacentral:rRNA from 1 species